rnacentral:misc_RNA from 1 species
GGUGUGAAGGCGGGAACCCAUUCAAAGCUUGGCAGUAUAUUCAGAAACACGGUAUUCCUACCGGAGGAUCCUAUGAAUCGCAGUUUGGAUGUAAACCUUACUCUAUACCUCCAUGCGGAAAAACUGUUGGCAAUGUGACCUACCCAGCGUGUACAAAUACUACAUCACCUACUCCGAGUUGUGAGAAAAAGUGUACUUCACGAAUCGGAUACCCAAUUGAUAUUGAUAAAGAUCGGCAUUAUGGAGUUUCUGUGGAUCAACUUCCAAAUAGUCAAAUAGAAAUUCAAAGUGACGUCAUGCUAAAUGGGCCGAUCCAGGCAACUUUUGAGGUUUACGACGAUUUUCUUCAAUAUACGACGGGAAUUUAUGUGCAUUUGACUGGCAACAAACAGGGUCACUUGUCAGUUAGAAUUAUUGGCUGGGGAGUUUGGCAAGGUGUUCCUUAUUGGCUAUGCGCAAACUCUUGGGGAAGGCAGUGGGGAGAGAAUGGAACUUUCCGUGUUCUACGUGGAACAAACGAAUGUGGGCUCGAGUCGAAUUGUGUUUCAGGAAUGCCUAAACUUAACUAAAUCGUGUCUUUCUCAUUUAUGUAUGUGCAUUAAUAAAAUUGUCAUUCCCAA